rnacentral:lncRNA from 1 species
CAGAGCUGGAUUGGGUGGAGUCCUGCCUCACCAGCUGGGAAAUCUCUCCGAUCUGCAGUAUCUAGACUUAUACAAUGACUUGGAUCCCAAUUUUGUGGUUCGGGUCCGUGAAUUUAGCAUUGGUGAUGCACUCUGGAUUUCUCACCUUUCUUCUCUAAAGCAUCUCAACCUGAAGAGUGUUAACUUUCAAAAUGGUACUCACUGGCUGGAAGCUCUGAACAUGCUUCCUUCUAUCGUGGAGAUAUACUUAUCUCUCUGUGAAAUUCCAAGUGUUCCCCUCUCUCUUCCGCAUGUGAACUUUACAUCACUAUCUGUUCUUGAUUUGUCCUAUAAUUUCAUUAGCUCUACGAUACCCUCUUGGUUAUUCAACAUAAGUGGCCUUGAGCAUCUUGAUCUCAGUGAUAACUUAUUUCAGGGUAAUAUUCCACCAGCCUUUGGUAACUUGGCUUCCCUCAAGGGCCUUAAUUUAGCUAACAAUUUUCGUCUUCAAGGAGGAAUACCCACUUCCUUCAAAAAUCUGUGCAAGUUGCAGAAUUUAAUAUUGUCAGGCAUCAAUAUCAGCAAAGAUUUGUUAGAACUCGAUGAAAUUUUCUCUGGUUGCAUCAAGAUGAGCCUAGAGGUUCUAAGCUUAGCUAGAACGAAUAUUAGUGGGCAGUUGCCUGAAUGGUUAUUCCAACUAGCGUCACUCCAAGAGCUCUAUCUUCAUCGAAAUCAACUGAAUGGAACUAUACCAGAAAGCUUGGGACAGCUGUCUCAGCUAGUUGUUUUGGACCUUUGGUACAACCAUUUGGAGGGUGUAAUGUCUGAGGCGCAUUUUGGAAACCUCACAGAAUUGAAAUACUUAACUUUGUCGUCCAACUCCUUGGCUCUGAAGGUCAAGAGCAAUUGGCUUCCUCCCUUCCGGCUAGAAUCCCUUUGGAUGGGCUCCUGCAAACUGGGUCCCGAGUUCCCUGCAUGGCUCCAGUCGCAAAUAAAUAUUUCAGAAAUUGUUAUGUCUAAUGCUAGUAUUAUUGAUGCUAUGCCAAACUGGUUUUGGAGCUUAAUUUCCACGGCAGUGUACGUGAGUGUCUCCGGCAAUCAGAUCAGUGGCCACGUACCCAAUUUGUUGCAUUUAAACAACCUCUACGGGUUGGAUUUAAGUUCAAACUACUUCGAGGGUCCUCUUCCAUAUUUUCCUCCUGGAUUGUCUUUAUUAGAUCUGUCAAACAAUUCAUUUUCAGGAACAAUUUCACUUGCCAUCAUCAUGAAUAUGCCUAACCUCGUAUAUUUAUCGCUUUCGGAAAACAAUUUAAGCGGUGAAAUUCCCUUCUCUAUAUGCCAACUGCAGGUCUUGUGGAUUCUUGAUCUUUCAAAAAAUAUGUUGUCAGGAGAGCUCCCCAAUUGCUGGAAUAAUUCUUCCCCAAUUGAAGUUAUGGAUUUUUCAAGAAACAACAUAUCUGGAGUUAUUCCUGAGUCGAUAUGUUCCUUAGUAUCGCUUCAGUCGUUGCACUUGAGCAAUAACAGUCUAUCUGGAGAGCUGCCUUUGUCCUUGAAGGAUUGUGGGAAAUUAAUCCUUCUUGAUGCCGGACAUAAUGAUUUGAAAGGUGAAAUUCAAACCUGGAUAGGUGAAAGUUUAACUAGUCUGCGGUUCCUCAAUCUGCGAUCAAAUAUGUUGGCCGGAGAUGUUCCUCCAAAUCUUUCAAGAUUGAGUGCUCUCCAAUUUCUCGACCUUGCAGAUAAUGAGCUAUCGGGAACUAUUCCAAGGAGCUUUGGAAAUUUUACUGCCAUGAAAGUAAUUGAAAAUUUUUCGAGUUGGAGGACAGGUCAAAUUAGAUAUAAGGAGCAGAUGUUUAUAACAACUAAAGGAAACACUCGAGCGUAUGAUGUGUCGCUUUCGCUUAUCAAUAUCUUGGACCUCUCGGACAAUAACUUAUUUGGAGGAGUACCUGAAGAACUCACAAGUCUUUUUGGCUUAUUCAGCUUAAAUUUAUCUGGAAACCAUUUCACAGGAGAAAUCAUUGAAAAUAUCAGUAAAUUACAACAGUUGGAGUCCCUUGACUUGUCAAGGAACAACUUUUCUGGCACAAUUCCUUCGAGCCUCGCUGCCCUGACUUCUUUGGCUCACUUGAACCUCUCAUACAACAACUUGUCAGGGGAAAUUCCUCUUGGUAAUCAACUUCUGACCUUCAAUGAUCCAUCUAUCUAUAUUGGCAAUCCUGGUCUUUGUGGGUUUCCUCUGAAUCAAAGUUGCAAAGACAAUGAGACAGCACAAGGUCGAAGUAAUGCAGAUGACAGAGAUGACAACGAGAUGAUAUGGUUCUACAUGAGCAUGGCACCAGGAUUUGUUGUUGGUUUCUGGGCAGUCUGGGGUACAUUGAUACUAAACAAGAAUUGGAACCUUUACUACUUCAGAUUUAUAGACAAUAUACUUGACAAAGUGUAUGUGUUCACCGUACUGAAAGUUUCUAGGAUCAGAAAACGUUGUUGUUUCCAACAAGGAUGAUAAAUUUGAACAUCAAUAUAUGCUGUAUGAGAGUUCAUCUCGUUAAUAUCAUAUCAUCAGCUUGAAUAAAAUUUAAUACUUCUGGACUUGUAUACAAGUAAGUCAUGCACUCUCAAUUUUGAUCAUUUCUGUCAAGUUCGCAGUACCAUAUGAAGUGUUCUAAUUCUGGGGACUGCCAAAAAGCUUGCACCUUUUAAUUAGUUUUUCCAAAAUAGACACCCCUUUUUUAGUUGUUCAGUUUGGCAGAAAUGAAAGGAGGUUAAAACUUUUACGAAGAUAUAGAUAGAAUUUCUGCAGCUGCGACAGAUGGAGCUGUUUAAUAUGAUCUACUCAUGUAAUGAUCCUCUUGUGUUUGAGAUGCUUGUCUUCAUCAAUCAAAUACAUAUUGGAUGCAUCAUAAGCUCAAGUCCACCAAAUGUGCAGCUGCUUGAUCAUCUUGGAUCUCAUGCUCAGAUCUUUUCACUUGAUGAGUCUCCCAUUAAUGGGGGACAUGCUGCUGCAGAUGAUGGAAUUGGGCCGAAGAGGCUUUCACACGCAUGUCAAUGUGACAAGGAUGAUCUGUGCAUGCAGGAAUAAUCCAUUUAUGAUAUACAGAGUGUGGCCCCUCUCUGAGCCGCUCACAUUGAAUUUUGCCAUGGAUUCUGUGUUAUGACUCGGGAUGUAGACGAGCUUCAUUUGAUUACCUGUUGCCAUUAGCACUCAAACGUAAGCAAAGUUCAUAGGAAUGUAAUUCUUGGUUCAAACUGUUUUGUAGACGCAAAACAAAGAAGAGGUGUUACAUCAACAUUUUCUUAUGGAUCUAAUUAUCACCCUCCAUAAAUAAGAGUGAUUAAGAUCAGGAGUGAAUCGAGAUUAAUAAUUUUUCUAGUAUCCAAUAAAUAAAAAAUUAUGUAUUUUUAUUUAAUUAUAGACAUUAUCUUGUACAAAACUCGAGAAUUGAUUUUAAAUAAUUGUUAUUAUUUUUGUAAAUAAAAAGAUCUAUUGCUCAAAAGAUAAUGUGUUAUUUAUAGAAAUGUAAGUUUGACUAGAAAUCCCACCACGAGAGAUUUCUUGAAAUAUAUUAAAAAUUAAUUAUUUUGAUCAUCUUGGCUAAACAAAAAAAUGUUGGUAAAAGGAAAACUUAGGUACUAAGAUAUCAAGUUGGUAUCAUCAGCAAGAAUUGUAUAAAUUAGAGAGUCCAAUUGAUAUAGAUGAGAAGGUAUGACAUGAGAAGAUUAUUAAUAUGGUUUAAUUGUUAAUAAUUCAUAAAUACUAGGUCGUAUUUAAUAUUAUUUCUUAAUUUAUAAAUGUCAUCGGCUCAUGUUAAUCUUUUCUGUAUCGUUCUAAUUUUAUUGGAUGUUUCUAGGUUAUGCUGGGCUUUGACGAAGAUAUCAAGUGAAAAAGUUUAUAAUAUCUUGAUUUAUAGAGUAGACAUAAUUAAGAUUGAUUUAUAAAGAUAUGAUGGACUUACUAUUAUUAAUUUUAACUUAAACACUUUAAUCAAUGGUUUAAGUUUUAAUAGCUCAUUAGUUUGUUAAGAGUAUCGACACAAUGACAGGGAGAUACAUGAUUAAGCUAGUCUCACACAAUGAUAGAGUGAUGCAUGGUUAAUCCCUUUAUGCAAGAUUUACUUUUUUAACAUGAGAUGAUCAUUGUUUUCUUUGUUUUUCAUGAGUAAAGUUAGCAUGUUCUCGAAGAUAAAAGAAAAAAAAAUUGACACGACAAGAGAGGAAUGGUAGCAACAGAUUCUGAACACAAACUAAGAUUCAAAGAUGAUGCAACCUUGCUGUUGCAAAAGUAGAUGAGUAACUUGGCUCUGAUAGCUGGAAUUGAAGGUCUUCCUUCCUCUUGUUCUGCUCAGUUGCAUUAUCAUGUCAAUUUCCAGGAGAGUUUCCCAGCGACUGCUGAUCGCUGUCUUCUUGGUGACCACAAAUCUUGUCUUUCUUUUAUUCGUGUUAAUAAUGGUUGUCUGAUAGCUACAAAUUUCUCCUAUUUAGCAGUUCUUAGGAAAUUCUCAAAACCUUCACAUUCAAGAAGAUGCUGGAGUCUUUAGAUGAAAGCUAUUCCAACUUUGGGACUCGUCAAAAUCAGAAGUCAUAGUUGACUGACUUGAGGAUAGACAACAAUAUGAAAUGAAGAACAAGUGCAUGAUAUUGGCAGACAGCCUAAUUGUUGAAGGUUUCUUGGUCUACUCUUUGAAUCCGUCAGUUGAGUAGUUUCAGACUAACGGAGGAUGAUCCAAACAGGGCAUGAUAAUAAUAUUUUGUGUAUUGCAAGCUGUCCACCGCAGAUUUCUCAUGAUUAAUCUUAAGAUAAGCUGCGUAUUUUUAUUAUCUGUAAUCUAAGAUAAUUGUGUUGGUGUGAGAUGAUCCACUUUGAUCAAGUACACAAUUUCCCUCCCAAUCGAUGGAAUCAUGGUUGUGGUAAUAAUUGUUUUCAGGUGUAUGCAAAAAGGCAAAUCUACCUGUUCUGUGAAAUUUCUUGCCAGUUUCUAUGCACUACCGGUGCCAGAAAUAUGAAAAUCUAAUUAAAUACCUUGACGAAUUAAGCUGCCAUUAUGGUUGUUUUUCUAGUUUCUUGGACUCGUUUUAGACAUUACAAGUGUAUGACACUGGAUUUGCUCAGUAGAACAUCAUGGACGACCUUCUAUCAUUGUCAACCUAGAACAUCGNNNNNNNNNNNNNNNNNNNNNNNNNNNNNNNNNNNNNNNNNNNNNNNNNNNNNNNNNNNNNNNNNNNNNNNNNNNNNNNNNNNNNNNNNNNNNNNNNNNNNNNNNNNNNNNNNNNNNNNNNNNNNNNNNNNNNNNNNNNNNNNNNNNNNNNNNNNNNNNNNNNNNNNNNNNNNNNNNNNNNNNGUGCAGCAAUCAUACUGGGCAUGUCGUCAAGCUGGACCUCCAGAAUCCGCAUCCUUUCUCGGAUUUUGGUGACGAGCCAUACAACAACUGGACCUUAGGAGGUGAGUUGAGGCCUUCUUUACUUGGUCUGAAACACCUGAAGUACCUGGACCUAAGCAUGAACGAUUUUGGAGGCAUUAAUAUUCCAGAAUUCAUGGGGUCAUUCCAUCAACUCCAAUAUCUUAACCUCUCCAGAGCUGGAUUGGGUGGACUCCUGCCUCACCAGCUGGGAAAUCUCUCCAAUCUGCAGUAUCUAGACUUAUCCAAUGACUUGGAUCCCAAUUUUGUGGUUCCGGUCCGUGAAUUUAGCAUUGGUGAUGCACUCUGGAUUUCUCACCUUUCUUCUCUAAAGCAUCUCAACCUGAAGAGUGUUAACUUUCAAAAUGGUACGCACUGGCUGGAAGCUCUGAACAUGCUUCCUUCUAUUCUGGAGAUAUACUUAUCUCUCUGCGAAAUUGGAAGUGUUCCCC